CGUUUUCCAUGACGACUCUGCCUAAAUUGGGAAAAUCUAAGAACCCUAUCCUCGGGUUCUUACCCGGCGGGUGAAUCAGAGUGGCGGUAGCCGGUAAACUAUUUUCUUCUUCUUUUGUUUAGGUUUUUGUAUAGAUGAUAAGCAGAAAUGCUGUUGAUUUAGGUUUAAGCUUUGACAAACGUAUUUCUCCUCCUUUCUGAUGAUGAAUCUAGUUAAAAUCCUGUGAUGUUUCUGUUCGAGAGUAAACCUGCUAUAACUCCUCCGGCGAACAUUAGAAGAUAUCGGGAUAGGAGAAGACAAAGCAAGGAUCGGAAUAUCGCAAACUAUAGGAUUAGAUUUGUGUUGUGAAAACUUGAUGAUCAUUACUACUAAUUUUGUAACAAUUUUGAUAUAGGACUUAGUGUAACAAUUUUGUAACCAGAUUAGUUAACUACUAAGUGUAACUAACUAAGUGUCCUUUAAUGCGUUCCCUCAAGCGUAUUGGAAGUUUUUUUGGUAAGCUUGACACGUAGUAUAUCGAACGCUGGUCGUGGGAGUGGCUUUGUGAGGAGAUCUGUAAUCUGAUCUUUUGUCCC
rnacentral:lncRNA from 1 species